rnacentral:rRNA from 1 species
UACGGAGGGAGCUAGCGUUGCUCGGAAUCACUGGGCGUAAAGGGUGCGUAGGCGGGUCUUUUAAGUCAGGGGUGAAAUCCUGGAGCUCAACUCCAGAACUGCCUUUGAUACUGAAGAUCUUGAGUUCGGGAGAGGUGAGUGGAACUGCGAGUGUAGAGGUGAAAUUCGUAGAUAUUCGCAAGAACACCAGUGGCGAAGGCGGCUCACUGGCCCGAGUACUGACGCUGAGGCACGAAAGCGUGGG